CCACCCCCCCGUCCGUUUCACCACCAUGCAAAUGUCACUAAAAAGUUAAUUAGAUGAAUAAUCGCAUUUGCUCGGUGCCAGUAGGAAUGGAUUUUCUUUGGUGCUGUUAGUGCCCUUUCUCCGCCUGAAUGUCCCUCCCCCACCCUCACCUCCUGAUCUGCUUUACCGACUCACUUUUCCGCCUUUGGAAACGCUUAUCGAAAAUGGGAAAGCAGAAGAAAAAGUUUCCUGAGCAGAGCCGACAACUGCUCUUCCAAAUGCCUCUGCCAUCAGCUGAAACGGUGCUGAAACGGUGCUGAAACGGGGGGAAAGAAACCCGACCGAAGAAGAAAUCAGACCCAAACCAGGCAAAGAGGAGUCAAGACCACCCCGAGGUUUGCCGAACUGAACAAGUCAUGAAGGAACGAAUGCGAAAUAAAAAAGAUAACUGUGGCCGUGGUAA